GGUGGGGGAACUGAACCAGGGGUCCGAUCCCCACAUGGGAGCAAUUGUCUGAGUCAGAAGAGAAACAUUUAAGGCUGAGAGUGAAAGAGCUGAUCCGUGGCAGCCUAAAUGGGAUGAGAAUCAGUCCUUCCACAGCCAUGCAUAUCCAGGACAGAGUCGCGGAUCCCCUGGAAGGUGUAGCAGCUGGGAGCUGGAGUUUAGGGAUUGUGGAGCAAUCCUACUUCCUGUGGAGUGAGGGCUGCUGUUGACUGCGGAGAGAUGGAUUGAAGGGAUACUCUGAUGGCGCCAUAACUCUUGUGGUGGAGGCAGUCCAUGUCCUGUGCACUUGGCACCGCCAGGGUCCCCAAAAGCCAAGCAGCUGCACCACUUUCACACUCAGCUCUCACUGGGGCAGAGCUGCUACAGGCAAAAAAAUGUCUUGCAUCUAUGCGUGCAGGGUUGCUUCAGUCGUAUCCGACUGGCUCUUUGCACCCCUGUGGCCUGUAGCCUGCCAGACUGCUCUGUCAGGGAGAGGGGUUCUCCAGGCAAGAAUGCUGGAGCAUAUUGGCUGAUACUGCUCGCCAUAACCUUCAAGAGCACUAUAUUUCCUGCUGCCCUAGCUGCAAACUCCCCUGAGUACCUGGUGCUGCCAGAACCCUUGUGACCCAAGCAGCUGCACCACCUCCACACCUGGCCCUCAUAGGGGCAAAGCCAAGUCCUCCAGGGCAGCUGCAGGAGCAAACCUCAGUGGAGGACCCACAUGCAGAGGUGGAAAUAAAACCACAAUUGAAACCCAGGGGCGCUGUGACUAAGGAAGAAGACCCAAAACCCUCCCACCAGUUGUAUAAGCUGCAGAAUAAAUCCACAUGAUCAACAAGGCAGACUCUGUGUCUAUGGAAUAUAUAAAAGGUCAUUGAGAGCUCCCACAAAAGAAAACACAGUAGUUCAGAUAGCAGUGGACAUUGGAGGCAAGAACACAGAGGAGUAGGACCAGAUUAGAAUCUGAGCAGCCCACACAACAGGCCCAGAGAUCAGCACAGUGUUGGAGGGCAUCCUAGGGAGGUGAGGUGGACUGUGACUCCCAGUGAGGGAAAGGACUCUGACAGCAGCGACUCAAGAAAAACAUUUAUUAUUCUUAUGUUUUGAUUGUUCUAUAG
ensembl:lncRNA